rnacentral:hammerhead_ribozyme from 1 species
ACCUUGCUGAUGAGUGCCAAGUAGCACGAAACUCGGGUCCAUGGU